UACGGAGGGUGCAAGCGUUGUCCGGAAUUAUUGGGCGUAAAGCGCACGUAGGCGGUUCUUUAAGUCUGAUGGGGAAAGGCUGGGGCUCAACCCCAAGCAAGCCGGGGAUACUGGAGGACUGGAGACAGGCAGAGGCCAGCGGAAUUCCGGGUGUAGCGGUGGAAUGCGUAGAGAUCCGGAAGAACACCGGAGGCGAAGGCGGCUGGCUGGGCCUGAUCUGACGCUGAGGUGCGAAAGCGUGGGGAGCGAACAGG
rnacentral:rRNA from 1 species